UACAGAGGUCUCAAGCGUUGUUCGGAUUCAUUGGGCGUAAAGGGUGCGUAGGCGGUGGGGUAAGUUUGAGGUGAAAGCUCCGGGCUCAACCCGGAAAAGGCCUUGAAAACUAUCCGGCUAGAGGGUUGGAGGGGAGACUGGAAUUCUCGGUGUAGCAGUGAAAUGCGUAGAUCUCGAGAGGAACACCAGUGGCGAAGGCGGGUCUCUGGACAACACCUGACGCUGAGGCACGAAAGCCAGGGGAGCAAACGGG
rnacentral:rRNA from 1 species